rnacentral:rRNA from 1 species
CCCUUAGAUGUUCUGGGCAGCACGCGCGCUACAAUGGUCUUCGCAAACGGAUGCAUUCUCGAAGGAGAAUGCCAAUCUUGGAAUCUAUGCCUUGGUCGGGACAGUUGCUUGCAAUUUUUCGACUCGAACCAGGAAUUCCUUGUAAUCGUGAUUCAUCACAUCACGAUGAAUACGUCCCUGCCUUUUGUACACACCGCCCAUCGCUCCUACCGAUCGAAGAGUUAGGUGAAUUGUUUUGAUCGAUAAGAUUUGACUAUGGUCAACUCUCGUUGUGAAAUUCUGUGAAUCUGACUGUUUAGAGGAAGGAAAAGUCGUAACA